rnacentral:lncRNA from 1 species
GGUUAGAGGAAAGAGAAUCCAUUUUUUUAUUGUUUGUGUUUGUGUUUGUUGUUGAGUAUUAAGUAAUGAAGCUGGUAAUGAAAAUGAAUGAAUGAUAAAUGGGAAAUGAUAAUGGAAUGGAGUCUGCUGAGUUCACGAAAAGGAGAUUUGUAUCAUUGGACAGUCAGUAGUCAAAGGUUUUCGUGGUUUUGAACGGAAUUUCCAAGAAAUUAUGCACAAAUAUAAUAGCUACCAAGUGAUGCUCAUAAAAUUUGCCACCAGGCGUCGCCCACCUUGAGGUUCCUCGUCAAUCCACAAAGAAAGGACCUUUUUGGCAGAGGAAAUAAUUAUGUUGAUGGCAACUUUAUUACAUUUAAAGCCACGAAUUUGGCUUUGGACUUGGUGUAUCUGUUUAAUGUGAUACUUAUAACAUUUGCCACCAGGCGUCGCCCACUUUGAGGUUCCUCGUCAAUCCACAAAGAAAGGACCUUUUUGACAGAGGAAAUAAUUAUGUUGAUGGCAACUUUAUUACUUUUAAAGCCGCGAAUUUGGCUUUCGACUCGGUGUAUCUGUUUAAUGUGAAGUCAAUGAGAAAACAGAUUUUUAAGGUCUACCCUUUUUGGAAAUUUUUACCAAUCUUCAAGCAUUUCAUCAACAACUGUGUUACUUGCUCUUUCUUCGCUGUCUUUCUGUUUUAUUUGACUCUUGUAAAUCUUAAUGCAGUAAGUAUAAGGUCGAGAAUGUGAAAUUUUAAAUAAUUUUAUACCAUAUUUGGAAGCUUUUCCAAGAAUGUAUGCUAAUUUAAUUUUUUUUUAAUUUAUCUAUUUUUAUAGCGAUUUCUUUAUCAGCGAUAAAGAAAUUAAUAAAUGGCCAAUAGGGGAGACCGAUGAUACCAAAAAACUGAAGGAAAUAGAAAAGCCAUAAAAGAAAGAAAAGGAAUAAGACAUUCAAUUCAUACAAAAGAGAUUCAAUUAACCACCAAAAGGCCGCUGGCCGUAAAAAGUACGCCCUUGUCGUUUAACGCCUUCAGCGCCACGCUAGUUCA